rnacentral:rRNA from 1 species
CCUACGGGAGGCAGCAGUGAGGAAUAUUGGUCAAUGGCCGGAAGGCUGAACCAGCCAUGCCGCGUGAAGGUCAGUGCCCUAUGGGCGUUAAACUUCUUUUGUGCGGGAGCAAUAAUGGUCACGUGUGGCCAGACGAGAGUACCGUACGAAUAAGCAUCGGGUAACCACGUGCCAGAAGCCGCGGUAAUACGGGGGAUGCAAGCGUUAUCCGGGAUUAUUGGGUUUAAAGGGGGCGUAGGCUGUGAGGUAAAUCAGCGGUGAAAUGCCCGCGCUCAACGGGGUGAAGUGCCAUUGAUACUGCCUUUCUGGAAUGCGAAUGCCGUGGGAGGAAUGUGUGGUGUAGCGGUGAAAUGCAUAGAUAUCACACAGAACACCGAUUGCGAAGGCAGCACGCGAAUCCGCGAUUGACGCUGAUGCACGAAAGCGUGGGUAUCAAACAGGAUUAGAUACCCGAGUAGUC